rnacentral:lncRNA from 1 species
AAUAAUUAAAAAAAGGAAACCUAUUGAUUUUUCCCAGUCAAAUCAAACAGCCUAGCCACCAUUAAUUCUAUCGUUUUUUCAUAUCACCAACUUCGUCUGCUCAGCAGAUAGCCCUUCCAAAAAAGAUUUUUCAUUUGCCUGCUAUCUUUGACUACUCCAUUUCUUCACUACAAAUGGUUUCAGUCUAGAUUUCUUCUCUAUCUUCCUUAUAGAGCCAGAUCUCUGUGGUUUAGCUCUUCCCCCACCAGGUACAAUUCUUCCCUUCUUUCGAGUGCUUCUUUUGCUAGUUUAUGGGUGAGUAUUCUUUGAUCUAUGGAUAAACUGGAAAGUAACCUCUUGAAUCCUAGUUCUUUUACUCCGAAUAUCUCUAAUACUUGUUCCAAGUACUGAUUUGUCCACUUCUAUCGAUUGACAUUUUUUGAUGAUUAUUUUUGAAUCUCCCAUUAUUAUUGCUGAAGUUAAACCCAUUAAUAAUACUAACUUGAUGGCUUUUAACCCUGCAUGAGCUUCUGCUGGAAACAGGGAUGAGAUAUUAUAAUGGAGAAUCGUCUUUGAGGCUUUAAACUCACCCAUCUGGUCCCGAACCACAAAACCUAAAGUCGAUCUAAAACAUCUUUUGUCAAAAGCUGUAUCAAACUGUAUCAUAGCCCUCGUUGUCGCCCCUAUUUGAUGGUAAACUCUUUCGGUAUUAAAGGUAAUCUUUUUUCCUCGCACCCCUUCGAGUUCUGCUAUAUAUAUUUUGAUUUUUUGUGACAAAUCCCUAUCUGAAAUGGAUUUUCUUUCAUGAACAUACUGGUUCCGUGAGCUCAAAAUGAACCAUAAAGCACAACAACAAGUUGAUGUGAACAAAUCGUGAUAAAUUUUAUAAUUUAUGAAUGUCCGUUCUUGAAAAUUAACUAUUAUCACGACAAAGGCAAGCGCACCUUAUCGAACAGUAGUAUAGUUUAUGGCAAGACCGGGAUGUCGAACCCAAAGAAACUAAAAGUACUAGUAUUAACUUUAACUUUAUUAUCUAGCCUAAAAAUAAAGGGGUUUGUUUUAUCUAAACUAAUUACUAAACUAAGAAUGCACAUAAAGUAAAUUAGGGAAAUAACUUUUGAGAAAACUGAUUGAUUAAGACAAUACCCAAGGAAAAAUUCACCUACACUUCACUUGUUAUUUGACUCUGAAUCAGACGAUUUAUUCAUUUGACUUAAUCUGUAGAAAUCCCUAAUUUAUAUUAUUACCUCUCUCGAGACUAAUAACGUCUAACCCUAGGUUGAUUAAUUGAAAUCACUUCCUAAUUAAUUCCCUAGUGUUGCAUUAACUCGAUCUAUGGAUUCUCUUAUUAGGUUUCACCCUAAUCCGGUAAAAUCUUGUCACCCUAUCUCUAGGCGUGCAAUCAAAUUUGCUCAAUUUUGCUAGAUCUACUCUUAGACAGGGACUUUUGCUCCUCUGAAUAAGCACAUCAAAACUUGAAUCAAUAUCCUGGAAUAUUAAAACAAGAAUUAAGAACACAUAAUUAAGAACAAGUCAAAUAUUAGCAUACAAUUCAGAUAAUAAUAACAAGAUCCGUCUUAGGUUUCAUUCCCUUUAGGUAUUUAGGAGGUUUAGUUCAUAUUUAUGAAAGAAAACAUCUCAAAAGAAUAAUGAUAACAAAACAUAAAGAAAACCAAAGAACUCUUAAAGGGAAUUGAAGGGAGAUCUUCAGUCUUGAAGGUGAAUCCGGCUUCUGAGAUGGAUCAAUCGGCUUUCUUCGAGUAAUUCCUUGCCUCCUACUCCGUGUGUCCUCUCUAAUCAUCCUCUAGUGUGUUUAAAUAGGCUUUAGAAUGCCUAAAAGCCCUCAAGAGUGGCUUUUUCCGAAUAGGACUAAACUUGGGCUCGACAGGGACACGCUCGUGUGACACGCCCGUAUUCGAUUUCUUCAAUCUGUGUUCAAGGUUGUCAAACUAACACGGACGUAUGGUCUACUUGUGUAAGUUGUGCUCGAUUCUGCUAAAAGGACACGGGUGUGUGGUUUGUUCGUGUACGAAAGUCCAGGCCGUGUUGAUUUCACAUGUUGGUCUAUUUUCUCUGUUUUCGGCCCGUUUCUCACUCUUUUUACUCUCCUAUGCUCACCUAAGUAUAAGACAUGAAAUUAAAGGAUUAAGAGCUUCGAAUUCACCAAAUCUAAGGAGAAAUCAUCCAUAAAUGUACUAAGCAUGGGAUAAAAAUAUGUAUAAAUUACGGUUUAUCAAAUACCCCCACACUUAAGCGUUUGCUUGUCCUCAAGCAAAAUCCUCAACUCAUAAUUAAGAAUUCAUUUUUCUUAACUUAUAAUUCCUAUCAAUAAUGUCUUAAAAUAAUCCAUAAGUAAUCAUACAUUGAGAAUUCAACUAGAAAAAUAUCAAAGUUUCAAACAUUCUAAGUUGAGCAUUUUAUCACGAAAACAUAGGUGUCUCCCCUCAUCUAAGUGAUUACCUUUGAUUCAAAAUAUCACAGAGUUUUAACAUCCUUACUAAAGAUUCACUCAAAUCACUCGAGGUGUUUAAGGACAACAAGUUAGGCAUUCAAUAGUCAAUAUGAAAAGUUAUUACCAUAGGCUUGCAUGAAAAUCAAAUCUCCAUCACUAUAUAUUAAGAUGAAACAUCAAUCAAAAGGUUUUUAGAGGGUUGUAACGUGGCUUUGGUUAGGGGGUGUGGUCACAAGCUGAAAGAAAAUGUUAGAAUCGAGAUUGAAUUGAAAAAUUAUCUAACUAGAAAAAUAACUAAUCAUCAAUUGAAUACAAGUGAGCUUUUUCUCAGAAUAUGGAUUUAAACUUUUAAGCUCAAAAACAAAGAAUUACUACUAAUAUGUAUUUUUUUAAGCAAGUCAAGUAACAUAGACUAGCUAUCAAAAAUAAAACAUAGUUAAGUAAUUUACUCAAAUUAAAUCUCGACAAAAAUAGGGAUCAAAUUAACUUAGGGGAUUUUAACAAUAAUGGGUUAUGGGUUAAUGUUGAGGGUAAAUCAAUUAAUGGCUUGUUAGGCUCAAGGGGGUUCACUAAGGGUUAAUUGUGAAGGUAGGUUUUUAUGAAGUGAGUGGGUUAAACCUAAAUGCCUUUAUCAUAUUGACAUAUCAAAUCAAAGGUGUGGUCUUGACAUGCAUAAUCAAGUAAGUUCUAGAAUAACAGUUCAAUAUUGACGCACUCAAAGCAACAAUAAAAGUGAGCAUGAAAGAAAUAAUAGAUGCUCUAAAAGCUCAAGAUCUCACAAAAAUUAUGAUUUUUUUAUGUUUAAACGGGUGAAUUUUAACUCAAGAUAAUACCUAAACUUGGGGAAACAACCUAAAAAUUUUUAAAUCUCAAAAAUCAACUUAUCAUGCUUGAUUCUCUAAUUCCUUAAAGUUUAAACAAUCAAUACAUGAAUGCCUAUGUUUUAAUUUAAGAGAUAUCAAUAAAAACCAUAAAUUAAUCAAAAUUCAUUCUAAUAAUGAUAUGAGAAGAUCACAUGAGAAUAAGACAAUUCAGGGAUUUUUCUAAUAAUGAUAUAAAUGCCCCCCACACUUAAAAUGUAUAUUGUCAUCAAUGUACAAAGAUGUAUAAUAGUAAUAUAAAGAUAAUAUUAAAAGAGAGGGAGGGAAGUGAAACUGCCCUAAAAUUGUGGACGAUGUCCUUGGAUUAGCGAGAGCGAGAAUUGAAUAAAAAGCUGAAAGGGAUGCAUGAUUUUGAGGGAUAAAUGAGAAGACACCACUGUGAAGGAGAAUUAAGGGAAUAAUUCGAUGAUAACCAUAAAGGGAGGUAGAAUAUAAGACGAAGGUCUUCAAAAGUAAAUAAGAGACAAUGGAAUAAAAAUAGAAACAAAGAUAAAAAUAAAAAUAAAAAUAAUAGUAAAACACGCACGCAUGUGUUCUUCGGGGCGUGUUGGUGCACAUGGUCGUGUUAUUUUGACAAUUUCAACCACGGGUGGUGGGCACGGGCAUGUUGCAUGCCUGUGUUAAUUUCUCAGUUUUAUCCAUGGGAUGUGGGCACGGGCGUGCCGGCUGCCCGUGUUAAUUCAUUCGCUUAUCCCACGCCCGUGUUUAUGUGCCCACGUCUGUGUUGAUUUUUCAAUUUUGAACAUGGUUUAUAGACACGGACGUGUUGUACGCCCAUGUUAAUUUGGCAGGAUUUCCCACGGCCAUGUCGAACAGCCGUCGCAAUGUAUCGAAUCUCGUAUUUUGGGAAAAAAUUUACUCUACUUUCACACGACUGUAUCACACGUCCGUGUCUCUUCCGGUAGUAUGAGCACGCCCGUGGGUUAGGCCGUGUUUGCCAUUAUCAAAUGUUAACAUUUCCUGCAGUUAGACUAUGAAUAGUUAAAGAAAAAUUAAACCCUAUUUAGUGAGGUUAGUGCUUGGGUUGCCUCCCAAGAAGUGCUUAUUUAGAGUUUAAGUUCGACUCUGCCUUGUGGGUAUAUUUAGGGGGUUCGUGGAACCGUAGCUCCUCUCUAUCAUCUUUGAAAUUCUCAUCGUUAUAAAAUUUUAGGCUAUGUCUAUUUACCUUGAAGGUGCCUUUGUGAUGGAUGGCUUACCUCUAUUGUGCCAUAUGGAAAGACAUUUUGGACUACGAAAGGACCUGACCGCCAUGAUUCAAGCUUCUUCGGGAAUAAUUUGAGCCUCGAGUUAUAUAACAAGACAAGAUCUCCCACUUCAAAUUGCUUGCGUUGUUUUAAACGAGUGUCAUGGCGGUGUUUCGUUGCUUCCUUGUAUAGGCGUAAAUUCUCAUAUGCAUUGGUUCACCACUCAUCUAACUUGUUCAAUUGCAUCAACCUCUUUUCACUUGUAUGUUUGGGAUCGAAGUUUAGAAAUUUUAUAGCCCAGAAUACCUUGUGUUCUAACUCAAAUGGUAGAUGACAACUUUUUCCAUAAACAAGUCUGUAAGGUGAUGUUCCUAUGGGGGUCUUAAAAGCGGUUCUAUAAGCCCAUAAAGCAUCAUCUACUUUCAUCGCCCAAUCCUUCCUGUUUAACUCUACUGUCUUUUCUAAGAUAAUUUUAAGCUCUCGAUUUACUACUUUGACUUGGCCACUAGUUAGAGGGUGGUAAGGGGUGACUAUUGAUCGCGUGAUUUUGUGUGGUAAGUUUUAAAUAUUUAUAAUUAAUCAUUUUUGAAACUAACUAUUAUUGCGAUGCAGGCAAGUGUACCUAUCGAACAGUAGUAUAGUUUUAGCAAGACCGGAUUGUCGAACCCAAAGGAACUAAAAGUACUAGUUAAUGACUGUCUUUUUAUUAUCUAGCCUAAGAAUAAGGGGGUUUUGUUUUAACUAACUAAUUAACUAAUCUAAGAAUUCACAGAGAAUGGAAUUGGGGGAUUACUUUUGGAAAGUAAUUGAAUUAAGACAAUACCUAAGGAAAAAUCCACUUAGACUGUACUUGUUAUUCUGGCUCCGAAUUGGACGAUUUAUUCAUUUACUUAUUCCGUAGAGAUCCCUAAGUUAUGUUAUUAUCUCUAUUCAAGACUAAUAACGUCUAAUCCUUAGAUUGAAUAAUUGAGACUUUUCUCUAAUUAACACCUUAGGAUUGCAUUAACUCGAUUUAUGGAUCCUCUUAUUAGGUUUCACCCUAAUUCGGUAAAUUCUUGUCACUCUAUGUCUAGGCACGCAAACAACUCUGCUUAAUUAUGACAAAUGUACUCGUAGACAGGUCUAUUCCUCCUCUAAAUAAGAGUUUAUCUUGAAUCAGUAUCCUGGGAUAUCAAAACAAGAAUUAAGAACACAUAAUUAAGAAUAAGUUAAAUAUUUAUCAUACAAUUCAGAAAAUAAUAAUAAGAUUCGUCUUAGGUUUCAUUCCCCUUAGGUAUUUAGGGGAUUUAGUUCAUAAUUAAAAAGGAAAACAUCUCAGAAUAAAGAAUACAAAACAUAAAGAAAACCCAAAACUCCUAAAGGGAAAUUAAGGGGAGAUCUUCAGUCUUGAUGGUGAUUCCAGCUUCUAAGAUGGAUCAAUCGGCUUCCUUCGAGUAAUUCCUUCUUUCCUCUCUGUGUGUCCCCUUUUCUCUUCUUUUAAGGCGUAUUUAUAGGCUUUAGAAUGUCAAAAAACCUUAAAAUUAGUCUUUUUCAAAUUGGACUCAACUUGGGCUCGGCAGGGGCACGCCCGUGUGACACGCCCGUAUGAAUCGUACUUUGAAUCUGCCAAAUUGACACGGUCGUGUGGUCUGCCCUUGUGAGGAAGUCCAGGCCGUGUUGAUUUCGUACGUUAGCUCAUUUUCUCUGUUUUUGGCCCGUUUCUUGUUCCUUUCGCUCUCCUAUGCUUUCCUAAGUAUAAAACAUGAAAUUAAAGCAUUAGGAGCAUUAAAUUCACCAAUUCUAAGGGAAAAUUAUCCAUAAAAUGUGUUAAGCAUGGGGUAAAAAUAUGUAUAUAUUACGGUUUAUCAACUAUUCUGUGGUGAACACCGUUUUUCUUACGGGUCUUGUCAAAUUGGGCAUUACAAAAAUGAGUACCUCUAUCACUAAUAAUUGCUUUAGACGUUCUAAAUCGAGAGAAAAGUUUCUUAAAGAAUCGUACUACUACUCUAGCAUCAUUAGUAGGUAAAGCUUAGGCUUCAACCCAUUUGGACAUAUAAUCAACAACUACUAAGAUGUACUUAUUCCCAAAUGAACUAGAGAAUGGACCCAUGAAGUCGAUACCCCAAACGUCAAAUAUUUCACAUGAGAGCAUAUAUGUCUGAGGCAUUUCAUCACGUUUGGAGAUAGUACCUAUCCGUUGGCAUUUGUCACAAGAAGUAACAUACCUGUUGGCGUUUUUGAAUAGAGUGGGCCAAUAAAAACCUGAUUUGAGGAUUUUAUGUGCAGUAUUUGAGGAUUUUGUGCAGUCUUAUUUCCAUUGUAACAUCCUCUAGUCGGUCCUGAGUGGCAAUGUUCUAAGAUCUUUAAUACUUCUGUCCUCGUAACGCAUCUCCUAAUGACUUGAUCUGCACAUAUACAGAAAAGAAACGGGUCUUCCCCAAAGUAGUUUUUCACAUCAGUAAAGAAUCGCUUCUUUUGCUGAUGUGUCAACCUUUUGGGAUAAAUUAGCGGCUAAAAAAUUUGCAAUGUCUGUAAACCAAGGUACCUCAGAAUUAGAUAUAGCAAAAAAUUGUUCUUCAAGAAAUGAAUCAUUUAUUUCAACGUCAUCUAGCUUUUUGGUACUUGAAUUUUAAAGCCUAGAGAGAUGGUCAACCGCGAGAUUUUCAGGUCUUUUCUUAUCCUUAAUCUCCAAGCCAAAUUCCUACAAUAAUAAAAUCUAUCGAAUGAGUCAAGGUUUUGUAUAAGUUUUAGUCAAAAGGUAGCGAAGAGCAGAAUGGUCAGUAUAAACGACAACUUUAGACAAUAUUAGAUAUGACCUAAAUUUAUCGAAUAAAAAAACCACAGCUAGUAGCUCUUUUUCCGUGGUGGUGUAGUUUUCUUGUGCGGCUGUUAAAGUUUUGCUAGCGUAAUAGAUAGGUUGAAAAUGUUUAUCUCUUCGCUGUCUCAAAAUUGCACCUACUGCAAAAUCUCUCGCAUCGCACAUUAGUUCAAAAGGCGAAUUCCAAUCAGGUGCAAUUAUAAUUGGAGCUUUAGUCAGUUUAUCAUUUAAAGUAUUAAAUGCUUCUAAACAUUCCUGAUUGAAAUUAAAAGGCACAUCUUUUUCUAGUAAUUUAGUCAAAGGCUUAGCUAUUUUAAAAAAAGUCUUUAAUAAAUCUUCUCUAAAACCCAGCAUGUCCUAAAAAGCUUCUAAUAGCCUUAACCGAAUUAUGGGGAGGUAGUUUUUCAAUGGUUUCAAUUUUAGAUUUAUCAACGCCAAUCCCUUUACUAGAAAUUUUAUGUCCUAACACAAUACCUUCUUGAACCAUAAAGUGAUAUUUUUCCUAGUUAAGCAUAAGGUUUGUUUCCUCACAUCUUAUUAACACAUUUUAAAUUUUUAAGGCAAAGAUGGAAAGAGUUAUCGAAAAUUGAGAAAUCAUCCAUAAAUACCUUCAUGACGUCUUCUACGGGUUCGUAAAAAAUGGCCAUCAUGCAGCAUUGAAAAGUAGCAGAGCAUUACAUAAUCCAAAAGGCAUUCUACGAUAAGUAAAUGUACCGUAUGGACAUGUAAAUAUCGUCUUUUCUUCAUCUUCAGGAGAUAUUGGGAUUUGAAAAUAACCAGAGAGUCCGUCUAAAAAGUAGUAGUACAUGUGCCCUGACAAUCUUUCCAAUAUUUGGUCAAAGAAUGGAAGGGGGAAGUGAUCUUUUCUCGUGGCAUCAUUUAGCUUCCUAUAAUCAAUGCAAAUUCUCCAACCUGUGACUGUCCUUGUUGGGAUUAAUUCAUUCUUCUCAUUGGCUACAACAGUCAUGCCUCCUUUCUUAGGAACAACCUGCACUAGACUUACUCAAUGACUGUUAGAAAUAGGAUAAAUAAGUCCAGCAUCUAGAAGUUUAAUUACCUUAGCUUUAACAACUUCCUUCAUGUUGGGGUUCAGUCGUCUUUAGGCUUGUACGCAUGGCUUAUAUUCAUUUUCUAUUAAAAUUUUAUCGAUGCAAAAAGAAGGGCUGAUCCCUUUAAUGUCAGAAAUUUUCCAAGCUAUGGCCCUUUUAUGCUCUCUUAAGACUUGGAGUAAUUCUUAUUUCUCUUUGGGUUGCAAGUUAGACGCAAUAAUUACCGGUAAUGUAGAAUUAUUUCCAAGGAAUGCAUAUUCCAAGUGAUUCGACAAUUAUUUAAGUUCCAGUUUUGGAGGUUCUUCAAUAGAGGGUUUUUGCUUAAGUUUAUCGUUUACCUUAAUACCCUCAUAUUCUGCUGGUCUUGGGGAGGGUUCAUUGGAAUUCAGUUUAGUUCUUAUCUCAGAAUUAUCAUCCCCCUACUCUUCUUGGACAAGACACAGUUCCAACGUGUCCUUAUGUAUAAUUUCCUGAAAAGAAUCUUGAGUAGCAUAAUUAAUAGAGUCAAUAAAAUAACAUGAGUCAUCUUGUUCCCUAGAAAAUCUCAUGGCAUCAUAAAUUUUAAAGAUAAUUUCUUUGUCACAUACUCUAAGUACCAAUUUACCAUCACCCAUGUAAAUAACAGCCCUAACAGUGGCUAAAAAUGGACGACCUAAGAUUAAAGGCGCUUCAACAUCCUCAUCCAUGUCAAGCACAACGAAAUCAACAGGAAAUAUAAAUUUAUCUACUUUUACAAGUACAUCUUCUAUAAUUCCCCUAGGAUAUUUAACAGAUCUAUCAACUAAUUGAAUACUUAUCCUAGUGGGUUUAGGUUCCCCAAGACCAAGUUAUUUAAACAUUUUAUAUGGCAUCAAAUUAAUGCUAGCGCCUAAAUCAGCUAAUGCCUUAUCAACAUUCAAACUACCAAUUAAAUAGGGAAUAGUAAAACUUCAUUGGUCUUUCAGUUUGGUUGACAGUUUAUUUUGGAGUAUGGCCGAGCACUCCUCAUUAAGUUCCACUGUAGAUAAGUCUUCAAACUUCUUUUUGUUUGUUAGAAGCUCCUUUAAAAAUUUUGCAUAUAUAGGCAUCUGCGAUAUAGCUUCAACAAAAGGUAAGUUAAUAUGCAGUUGUUUAAAAAGUUCAAGAAAUUUACCGAAUUGUGCAUCCAUGUGGUCUUUCUUCAACUUUGCUGGAUAUGGGAUUGGUGGUUUAUAUUGCUUUGGCAUUAGAUUAUCAUUGUUUUCGGGUUUUUCCUCCUCUCAUUUGUCUCUUUCAGCUUCUUGUGGUGGCUUCUUUUUGGAUUCAACUAACACCUGCCCAUUCCUUAGUGUAACUGCUUUUACAUGCUCUUUUGGAUUUGGUUCGGUGUUACUAGGUAAACUUCCUGGCCAGCUGCCCAAUUUGAUUUUGGAGUCCUUAGAUCGACGUUUGCUGAUUUUUAAGUGCAGUUUCAGUGUUCUAAAAACGGGUUUCUGCUACGGAAAUAAAUUGACAUCUUCUCCUCAAGGUUCGGCUUUUUCUCUUGCUGGUAAAGUUGUUGGAAACCUAGAGAAUGUUGUGGUCUCUGAUUUUCUUGGCCUCUAUGAAAAAUUUGGGUGGUUCCUCCAACUUGCAUUGUAAGUGUUAUUAUAAGGAUUAUUUUGAGGUCGAAGAUUAUUACCCAUAAAAUUUAGUUGCUCGUGUUUCAUGUUGUGGCCAUAAGGUAGGUAUUCUGAAUUGCUCGUUCCAUCUCCAUUUGUAUUGCAUUGCAUUACUGGGUGAACCUGUGAAGAGCUAAGUAAAUCAUCAAUUUUUUUAUUCAAAAGUUCUACCUGAUUAGAGAGCAUGGUGAUUGAAUCGGUGAUAAAAACGCCGGCUACUUUCGAUGGCUUUGUCCUCAUGACUUGCCACUGAUAAUUAUUCAGUAACAUCUCCUCUAUAAAUUUAUAAGCCUUCUCAGGUGUCUUAUUAUUGACAGUCCCAUCAGCAGCUGCGUCAAUCAUCUGUCUAGUCGAAGGAUUCAGGCCGUUGUGAAAUGUUUGAACCUGUAACCAUAAAGGCAGCCCAUGAUGAGGGCACUUUCUCAAAAGGUCCUUGUAUCUCUCCCAUGCAUCAUAGAGUGUUUCUAGAUCCAUCUGCACAAAAGAAGAGAUAUCAUUCCUUAAUUUCGCCGUUUUAGCCUGCGAAAAAUAUUUAAGUAAAAACUUUUCGGUCAUUUGUUCCCAAGUAGUGAUUGACCAUCGUAGUAAUGAGUUCAACCACUGUUUAGCGUUAUUCCUCAAUGAAAAAGGGAAUAACCGAAGGCGAAUGACAUCAUCAGAAACGCCAUUGAUUUUAAAACUAUCGCAAAACUCCAAAAAAUUUGCCAGGUGAUUGUUUGGAUCCUCAUCCUACAAACCAUCAAACUGAACAAACUGUUGUAUCAUUUGAAUUAUGCUAAGUUUCAGUUCAAAAUUAUUUGCAGCAAUAGCAGGUCUAACUAUACUUGACUCAGUUCCUGUUAAAUUCGGUUUAGCAUAAUCAUACAUAGCGCGUGGAGUAGGAUUCUGAUUUACCGGAUCAGUAGCAAUUGUAAGAGGUAGCGGAUUUUCCUGAUUUUCAGCCAUCUUCUCGGUUGUGGUGUGAAUGUCGUCCUCUUGCUAUUCCUCUGUGUAUCUUAGGCUUCGCCUUAUUUCUUUUCAGUUUCUGUGAGCUGUGUGAUCGGUCUCACUAUUAAAAAGUAAUGGUCCCAACGGGUUUCUUCUAGCCAUACACUAUAAAAACCUUCCAGAAGCGAAUAAACGAAAAAUUAGAAAAGAAAGUAAAAAUUUAAAUUGCAAUAAAAGUAAAAUGGCUAAAGUAAUAAAAAUCGAGUGUUCUUAAUAUCUUAGUUCCUCGGCAACGGCGCUAAAAACUUGAUUUGAACAAAUUGUGAUAAGUUUUAUAAUUUAUGAAUGUCCGUUCUUGAAAACUAACUAUUAUCACAACAAAGGCAAGCGCACAUUAUCGAACAGUAGUAUAGUUUAUGGCAAGACCGGGAUGUCGAACCCAAAGGAACUAAAAGUACUAUUAUUAACUUUCUUUUUAUUAUCUAACCUAAAAAUAAAGGGUUUUUUUUAUCUAAACUACUUACUAAACUAAGAAUGCACAGAAAGUAAAUUGGGGAAAUAACUUUUGAGAAAACUGAUUGAUUAAGACAAUGCCCAAGGAAAAAUCCACCUAGACUUCACUUGUUAUUUGACUCUGAAUCAGACGAUUUAUUUAUUUGACUUGAUCUUUAGAAAUCCUUAGUUUAUAUUAUUAUCUCUCUCGAGACUAACAACGUCUAACCCUAGGUUGAUUAAUUGAAAUCUCCUUCUAAUUAACUCCCUAAUAUUGCAUUAACUCGAUCUAUGGAUUCUAUUAUUAGGUUUCACCCUAAUCCGAUAAAAUCCUAUCACCCUAUCUCUAGGCGUGCAAUCAACUCCACUCAAUUAUGCUAGCUCUACUCUUAGAUAGAGACUUUUGCUCCUCUGAAUAAGCACAUCAAAACUUGAAUCAAUAUCCUGGAAUAUUAAAACAAGAAUUAAGAACACAUAAUUAAGAACAAGUCAAAUAUUUAUCAUACAAUUCAGAUAAUAAUAAGAUCCAUCUUAGGUUUCAUUCCCCUUAGGUUUUUAGGGGGUUUAGUUCAUAUUUAUGAAAGAAAACAUCUUAAAAGAAUAAUGAUAACAAAGCAUAAAGAAAACUCAAGAACUCUUAAAGGGAAUUGAAGGGAGAUCUUCAGUCUUGAAGGUGAAUUCGGCUUCUGAGAUGAAUCAAUCAGCUUUCUUCGAGUAAUUCCUUACCUCCUACUUCGCGUGUCCUCUCUAAUCCUCCUCUAGUGUGUUUAAAUAGGCUUUAGAAUGCCUAAAAUCCCUCAAGAAUGGCCUUUUUCGAAUAAGACUAAAAUUGGGCUCGACAGGGACACACCCGUGUUUAAUUUCUUCAAUUUGUGUUCAAGGCAGUCAAACUAACACGGGCAUGUGGUCUACCUGUAUAAGUCGUGCUCGAUUCUGCUAAAAAGACACGGACGUAUGGUUUGCCUAUGUACAGAAGUCCAGGCUAUGUUGAUUUCACUUGUUGGUCCAUUUUCUCUGUUUUCGGCCCAUUUCUCACUCUUUUUACUCUCCUAUGCUCACCUAAGUAUAAAACAUGAAAUUAAAAGAUUAGGAGUAUCGAAUUCACCAAAUCUAAGGAGAAAUCAUCCAUAAAUGUGCUAAGCAUGGGAUAAAAAUAUGUAUAAAUUGCGGUUUAUCACAAUUCCAGCACUAUUCUUUAGUACCAUUUUCGAAAUCUCAAGUUAGCCACUCCUAGAUAUUUUGAUUCAUACGAGUUAUGAUCCAAGAGAUGUUAAGGUUCUGCCAUUCUUCAAUGAUUGCACGGCAUUGUCUGAAGGCAUGGUGGUUGUCCUCUUCUUCGGAGCAACAUUGAGGACAUGUGACAUUUGGGAUCACUCGCUUAUGUCUAAGGUUGACAAGGGUAGGGAUAUAGUUCUUGGAGAUCUUUCAUAUUGUUAAUGUAUUUUUUUAUGGUAGUUGUAAAUCCCAUAGUUUUUUAUAGAAAUCUUUGAUUUCGGUCUGUAAUAAAUAACUAUUAAGAUCCAAGCUAGCAUAUUGUAAUAGUUUAUAGGCGCUUCGUACUAAGUAUUCUCCGGAAGGUUCUCUUUUCCACACUUGAAAGUCUUCAUGGUCUGCUUUUGCAAGAGGGAUCUGCAAGAUCUUUUGGGCAAUUUUUGUUUGGAAGGUAUUGUUGACUACCUCCGUUUUCCAUGUUUUAUUUUUCGUUAUCAGUUAGAUCCGAGACUAAUUGUAGUUCAUCAUUUUCCUCUCUGUUUUGCUAGCCAAGUACUUCAAUCCCUGGGAUCUAGCAAUCAUUCCAAAUAGAUAUCUCAUUCCUUCUUCCAACUCUCCAGCAAAGCCCAGUUUGAAGAAGACCCUUUGCUGCCCAAAUGCUCUUCCAAGUAAAUGAGGAUAGAUUUUCUGACUUUGUAUUUAGAAAAUUGGAAUUUGGAAAAUAAUUUUUUUAAGAACUCUAUCCAAAAGAGAAUUUGGAGAGUUAAGAAGGUGCCAGCCAUGCUUGGCUAAUAACAUAAUAUUGAAUUGACAAAAAUUUCGAAAACCCAAACCGCUAUUCUCUUUUAAACUGCAAAUGUUUUUCCAAGAACACCAGUGAAUUCCCUUCUUCCUACGUCCCUUUUGCCACUAAGAAUUGGUAAUAAUACCUUCCAGUUCAUCAAAUUAUGAUUUUGGUAAUAAAAAAGAUCUAUUGAAUAUGUCGGUAUAGUUUAUAAAACAGCCUUUAUGAAUAUUUCCUUACCACCCUAAGACAGAUAUCUGAUACCCCAGUUAUCAAUGUGCUACUUUAGUCAAUCUUUUAAAACUUGAAAGGAUUUCUUUUUUUUUCUACCAACUAUACUCGAAAACCCUAAGUUCCUUUUCGGUUCACUUGAGCUAUAAACUCCUAGCUGAUUCACAACCAAUUGCCUAUCUUCCUCCGAUGUAUUUUUACUAAAAAAGACAGUUGAUUUGUCAAAGUUCACAUACUGAACCGAACCUUUUUUGUACUCACGUAGAAUCUCCUUAAUUAUGCAAGCUCCUCUCCUUGUUGCCUUCCUAAAUAAGAUGCAAUCAUCUGCAAAUAAUAAGUGGGGCACCUGUGGACAGCUUCUGUUAACCUUGACACAUUUUAAGAGCACUUCUCUUGUUGUUAAUCUCAUUAGGCAUGAUAAACCCUCUCCACAUAUUAGGAAUAAAAAGGGACUCAAGGGAUCACCUUGUCGAAGUCCCCUAAUUGGAUAGAAAACUUGUCCAAUAUUUCCAUUAAACACAACGGAAUAAGAAACAGUAAACAUGCAUUUCAUAAUAGAAUCAGUCCAUUUUUGAGCAAAUCCUAUUCGACUCAUUACCUCCCUAACAAAGUUCCAUUCAACUCUAUCAUAAGCCUUACUCAUGUCUAAUUUGACCGUCAUAAGACCCUUCUUCCCCAAUCUAUCUAUUUCAGUGAAUGUAGAAUUUCGUAGGCUAAUAAUACAUUAUCCAAUAUUAGUCUUCCUAGCACAAAAACACUCUGUGCUUCAUCAAUGCAUUUAUCAAUAACUCUUUAAAGUCUGUUUAGUAUAGCCUUUGUCAAUAUUUUAUAAAUAACAUUGCAUAAGCUAAUAGGUCGGAUAUGUGUCAUAUUAGAAGGGUUGGUGAUUUUUGGGAUAACCACAAUGUGUGUUGAAUUUGUUGGACUAACCUCUAUAUCUCCAUUCAAAAUGUGUAGACAAAAAGAAACAACAUAUUCCCCAAUGAUAUUCCAGGAUCUUUGAUAAAAUAUGGCUAGGAAUUCGUCCUCCUUUGGUGCCUUUGUAGAUCCCAUUUCGAACAAUGCAUCACGAAUUUCCUCUCCAGUGUACGACGUUAUAAGUUUUCUAUUAUCUUCCUCGUAAACAUAAUGAUCAAUACCCGUAAGUAAGUGUUCGUAGAUGAUCGUAUUCCCUGUUGUGAAUAAAUUCUGAAAAUAAGCUCGUACAAUACCCUCCAUUUUCUAAUGGUCUUUCGUUUCCCCUCCACUUUCAUUUUGUAGCUUAUUAAUCUGGUUUCUCCGCUGCCUCUAUGUUGCUUGGCUAUGAAAAAAAGUUGUAUUUCUAUCACCAAAUUUUAGCUAGUUCAAUUUAGCCCAUUGUUCCUAGUAAUAUUCAUCCUUUUCAAUCUCAAAGUUUAGCUGAAUCUUCAUAUCAAUCAUCUCAGUCAAAUUCUUAUCAUCCCUUUCAGCUUCAACCAGUUCUGAUAAUUUUGUUGUUAAGAACUCAUUUCUCCUCUUCUUGUUCAUUUGUAUUCGCCCAACCCAUUUUUUCAAACCCUUUCUUAAGAAUUCCAACUUUUGCAAAAAAAUCCCCUGAUGCCAUUUCCCAUAUGUGUUUGACUUCAUCAACAAAAGAGUCCUCCAAUGUCCACCAAGCUUCAAAUUUAAAACUGUUUCCUUUUCGUCUUUCUUCUUCCCUUUUUGUGACAACUAAAAGAGGACAAUGAUCUGAAAAGAAGGCACGAGAUACUGAAUUUUUGCCUCGGGAAACAUUGACAUCCAUUUCGCAUCGACUACUCCCCUAUCCAGUCAUUCUUGUAUGUUUGUCUCUGGUAAAUUUCCUCUUUCCCAAGUAAACCAAGAACCAGAAAACCCCAGAUCAUUUAAUUGACAUUCCUCUAAUGUUUUUCGAAAUAGUUCCAUUCUUCUUUCAUCUCUAGGCAACCCUCCUUUUUUUUCAAACCCAUAUAUAAUUUCAUUGAAAUUUCCACAUACAAACCAAGAGAUAUAUUCAUCAUGAUAAAGAUUUUUCAAAACAGCCCAUGAGUCUUCUCUAUCUUGAGCAUACGGGGUUUCAUAGAAACCUAUAAAUCGCCACUUUCACUAUCAUGUCAAUACGUUUUCUAGAAAAGUUCUGAAGUGUGAUAUAAGUGUCAUUACGCCAUGCCAAACAUAAUCCUCCUUUAGUUCCUUCUGAGCCAACAUCGAUACCAUUUGCAAAGCCACAACUUCGUGGAACUCUUUCCAUCUGUAUUCUACAAAGCUUAGUCUCCAUAAAGAAGACUAAUUGGGGAUUAUAGACCUUAAGUGAAUGUCGAAGUUUUCAAAUUGUCCGUGAGCUCCCCAAACCACGGACAUUCCAGCUUAGGAUUUUCAUUGCGUGCCCAAUCUGCUUGCCUCUUGGCAGCCGCCGAUGAUAAAUGAUUUAGUUCUACCAUUCUCCUAUUUCUUGACAAUACCUUAUUAAUUUCAUCUUUUUCUGGUAAGUCAUCAAUUUCACCUCUAGAUCUCUUCUUCCCAUCUUCUCUUAUUAGUGCUGCAUCAUCCAGAUCAUGGUCCAUCGUGGUAUGGGCCUGAUCUACCAAUGUACUCACCAUCCGUUGGCCAACAAAAGAUGAUCCCCCUUCCAAAUUAAAACCAAGAACUGGAUCCACAAUUUUUUCGAAUCUCUUUUUAUUUUUUGCCUUCCACUGACUAUUCUCUAAACUUCUAUUAUUUUGAUAUAUUCCUCCCGCAUUCCCCUCUCUUUCCUCACGUAGCCAUAUACUAUUCAUAGCCAAAACUCUUCGAGACUGAGCUCACAAAGAUAAAUCCCAGCCCAUUUCAGCAACUUCCAUCCUGAGUGUCAUCUUUGUUUCACAAAAAGAGUCACUAUGGCCCAAUGUUCCACAAUUGAAACAGAAUAAUGAUAAUCUCUCCUAUUUAAAACUGACAUAUGAAUGCCUUACACGGUACCAAAUUUGUUUUCUUCUUUUCAAAGGAUGCCUUACAUCAAUUUGAAUUCUUAUUCUCAUGAAAUUUUUAUUCUCUUUUCCCAUAUUUGAUCCAUCAUAUUCUAGAAAAUCUCCUAAAAAAUUACCUAGUUGCAUCGCCAAAUUUUCAGAAAAUAGACCAAUACGAACAUCGUGGAUCUGUACCCAGAAAGGUGUGAAGACUAAAGGCACUUGUAAUGGAUCCUCCCCCCAUUGUAGUUUGUAAAAAACCAGUAGAUGAUUAUUAAAGGUCUAAGGAAAUCCCUUAAUAAGCCUUUCCAAGUCCAUAAUUUGAACAAAUUGAAACAAAUACCUUUUCUCCCCCAGAUAUAGGAUUUGAAUUCCUCUAAUAAGAUGCCAUAGAUUCGCCAAAGUACUCUUCAUUGCUAGAAAGUGGAUAAUUCUGGCUGUCAAGAAACAACCCACAAGUUGAAAAAUCUCCCCCACUCUUUACCUUUUCAGAUCUAUUUGUAUUUGAAUAAUUUCAUUUUUUUCUUCAUUAAUCAACAGUUGAGCUAAUUCGUUUUCCAUCGAUGCAGGUGCAGAUCUCGAUCUUGGCUAUCCUUCUUCAUAUUGUAGGAGACCAAUAUGCAAGGUGUGCCGAUUUCAAACAACAGAAACCUAAUAAAAAAACCUAAAACUCUUGCCAGAGACGACAGACAAUAACAAUAUUUUUUUCUUUAAUACGCCUAUAUCAAGAACUUCAUCAACAGCUAAUUGCAAUCUUAAGUCGUAAAACAUGUACUUUUAAAAUAAUAAAAUCUUAAGUUGAACCAAAUUAAAAGAUAACAUAAUAUUACAAGUAUUGUUUAAAAUCUCUAAAAAUUUAGAUUAAAAAUAAUAUUAAAAUAGAAAACUAAAAGGUUCCGAUGAAAGAACC